rnacentral:rRNA from 1 species
UACGUAGGGUGCGAGCGUUGUCCGGAAUUAUUGGGCGUAAAGAGCUUGUAGGCGGUUUGUCGCGUCUGCCGUGAAAAUUCGAGGCUCAACCUCGAACUUGCGGUGGGUACGGGCAGACUAGAGUGUGGUAGGGGAGACUGGAAUUCCUGGUGUAGCGGUGAAAUGCGCAGAUAUCAGGAGGAACACCGAUGGCGAAGGCAGCUUGCUGGGACGGUACUGACGCUGAGACGCGAAAGCGUGGGGAGCAAACAGG